AUUUGGACCUUACCCUAGAACAGAAAGUAGAAGAAUUAAAAGAAACCAUCGAAAAACUGGAACAAUCCUUCAAUCAAUACGGCUAUCUUGAAAUCGCCUAUCACUAUGCAACUAAAAAUACCAAUUUCCAUGUCAAAAUCUGGUCCUUUAUUGAGACGGCUGCCGUUAUGACGAUUGCAAUAUGCCAAGUAGCUUACUUGCAACGAAAAGUAAAUUACUCAAAUCUUAACAAAAGGAGAGUAUGAUCCUUGUUGUUUUUCCCCAUUUAAGGGCAUAUUUGGCUAUCUCCUUUCCAACCAGAAGAAUCUCUGCGAUUGUAUAAAAAGUUUACUUCUUCGACUCA